rnacentral:rRNA from 1 species
GACGAACGCUGGCGGCGUGCUUAACACAUGCAAGUCGAACGGAAAGGCCCGGCUUUUGUGUGUUGCUCGAGUGGCGAACGGGUGAGUAUCACGUGAGUAACCUGCCCUUGACUUUGGGAUAACUUCAGGAAACUGCGGCUAAUACCGGAUAUGAGCUCCUGCUGCAUGUUGGGGGUUGGAAAGUUUCGGCGGUUGGGGCUGGACUCGCGGCUUAUCAGCUUGUUGGUGGGGUAGUGGCUUACCAAGGCUUUGACGGGUAGCCGGCCUGAGAGGGGGGCCGGCGACAAGGGGACUGAGAUACGGCGCAGACGGCUACGGGAGGCAGCAGGGGGGAAUAUUGCAGAAUGGGCGGAAGCGUGAGGCAGAAGCGCCGCGUGCGGGAUGACGGGCUUUGGGUUGUAAACCGCUUUGGCCUGUGACGAAGCGUGAGUGACGGUAAUGGGUAAAGAAGCACCGGCUAACUACGUG